rnacentral:piRNA from 1 species
AUCAUUAGAACUUCUUUUCAAAG